rnacentral:rRNA from 1 species
UUUAGUCAACUUUAGAUUAGACCUCAGAUCAGGCAGGAUUACCCGCUGAACUUAAGCAUAUCAAUAAGCGGAGGAAAAGAAACUAACAAGGAUUCCCCUAGUAACGGCGAGUGAAGCGGGAAGAGCUCAAAUUUGUAAUCUGGCACUUUCAGUGUCCGAGUUGUAAUCUCGAGAAGUAUUUUCCGCGCCGGACCGCAUACAAGUCUGUUGGAAUACAGCGUCAUAGUGGUGAGAACCCCGUAACUGAUGCGGAUGCCCGGUGCUUUGUGAUAUACUUUCGAAGAGUCGAGUUGUUUGGGAAUGCAGCUCAAAUUGGGUGGUAAAUUCCAUCUAAAGCUAAAUAUUGGAGCAAGACCGAUAGCGAACAAGUACCGUGAGGGAAAGAUGAAAAGCACUUUGGAAAGAGAGUUAACAGUACGUGAAAUUGUUGGAAGGGAAACGCUUGAAGUCAGACUUGCUAUUCGGAGUUCAGCCGCAAGGUGUAUUCUUCGAUUUGCAGGCCAGCAUCAGUUUUUGGGGGUGGAAAAUCGUGGUUUGAAGGUAGCAGUUUCGGCUGUGUUAUAGCUUUCCACUGGAUUCUAUCUUCGGGGACUGAGGAACGCAGUACGCUUU